UACAGAGGUCUCAAGCGUUGUUCGGAUUCAUUGGGCGUAAAGGGUGCGUAGGUGGCGCUGUAAGUCGGGUGUGAAAUUUCGGAGCUUAACUCCGAAACUGCAUUCGAUACUGCGGUGCUUGAGGACUGGAGAGGAGACUGGAAUUCAUGGUGUAGCAGUGAAAUGCGUAGAGAUCAUGAGGGAGACCAGUGGCGAAGGCGGGUCUCUGGACAGUUCCUGACACUGAGGCACGAAGGCCAGGGGAGCAAACGGG
rnacentral:rRNA from 1 species